AGGGGCGGGGAUAGCACCCACGGGUGGGGCAUAGAGGGUCAAGGCCUGGGACCCGCUUGUGGCCGACUCCGCCCAUCCACAAGCAGGUACCAGGGCCACGUGGGUGCAUCGCUGAUCGUGGGCGGCGUAGAUCUGACUGGACCGCAGCUCUACGGUGUACAUCCCCAUGGCUCCUACAGCCGUAUGCUCUUCACGGCCCUGGGCUCUGGCCAGGACGCUGCCCUGGCGGUGCUAGAAGACCGGUUCCAGCCGAACAUGACGCUGGAGGCUGCUCAGGGGCUGCUGGUGGAAGCCAUCACCACAGGAAUCUUGGGUGACCUGGGCUCCGGGGGCAAUGUGGACGCAUGUGUGAUCAUGAAGUCAGGCGCCAAGCUACUGAGGACACUGAGCUCGCCCACAGAACCCGUGAAAAGGUCUGGUCACUACCACUUUGUGCCUGGAACCACAGCUGUCCUGACCCAGACAGUGAAGCCGCUAACUCUGGAGCUAGUGGAGGAAACCGUGCAGGCUAUGGAGGUGGAGUAAAAUAGGCUUGAGGCUUAGAGCUUGGAACAAGGGGAAAUAAACCCAGAAAAUAAAAA